CUCAAGUAUAUUGCCAGCUAAACAAAGCUAUCCUUACCGGAAUUUAUAUCCAAAGGCAAAGUAUUGUUGAUCGUUUCUGAAAUCCUGAGAAGAAUCAAUCAUGCGAGCACAAUACAAAAUAAAGUUUGACCGCCCCCCUUGUUUAAAAAACUUCCAGAAUAAUCAUUUCCCCGUAAUUGCGGACAGACACCCGGACACAUUCGAUCGAGAUCUUGCC